ACGUUCAUUUCAACUGACAGGAACACAGAAACAUUCCACAUUCAUUUCAACUGACAGGAACACAGAAACAUUCCACAUUCAUUUCAACUGACAGGAACACAGAAACAUUCCACAUUCAUUUCAACUGACAGGAACACAGAAACAUUCCACGUUCAUUUCAACUGACA